AUGGAGCAAGCGGCGGCUGAAGGAGAACCAGGCGGCGGGGCGGCCGAGGGCGGGCAAGGCGGGGCGGCAGAGGGCAGGCCUGGAGGCGCGGAGGGCGGACCUGGAGGCGCAGAGGGUGGACCUGGAGGCGCGGAGGGCGAGCAACGCACCGAUUUGGGCUGGUCGGCUUGGGCAGAUUGGCAAGAAGGGAUGGAUCCAGAAAAGGUAGUGCAUAUGUUGAUUGCAUACUGUGAUCCCUCCAAAGAAGCAUAUGAGCCUAUCGCCGAGGAUUGGACAGAUGUUCAAGCAGACAACAACACAAAAGAGGCCGAUGAUAGUUAUCUUUGCAACCCAAUCCCACAGAAUGAGCAUGUUGGUAUUGAUGAGGAGAAAAUGUAUUUGGAGAAAGAACCUAUACCUCCAAAAUUGGUUCUUUUUUCUGGUAAAGAGAAAGACAAAACCAAUGUUUCUGAGGAUGAGAGCGAGGAUGGGAGCAAGGAUGGGAGCGAGGAUGGGAGCGAGGAUGGGAGCGAGGAGGAGCCUGAAGUAGAGGAGGAGGAGUUGCAUGAGCCAGAUCAUGCCCCAAAUAUAGAGUAUGACCAACAAGACCCUCCAAUGACUGUAGGAUCCAUAUAUCCCAAUGUGGAUGUGUUUAAGUUGGCUCUUUCUCAGCAUGCAGUCAAACGUGACUUUGAGUAUAACACAGAGAAGAGCACACAACGUAGGUUAAGGGCCUAUUGUAAAAGAAGAGAUGAAGAUGAUUGCCCAUGGAGGAUACAUGCUUCUACAACAGCUGAUAGGCGCACUGUAAUGGUGAAAAAGAAACCUUUUGAGCACGAUUGUUCUAGUACGAAAAGGAAAAAGAAUGUGAAGAACGCAACUAAGUUCUGGAUAUGUGAGAAGGUGAAAGAUUGGCUCAUUGAAGAUGCAACUCUAGGAGCAAUGGAAUUGCGAAAAAAGCUGAAAGAACACUACAAGAUCAAAAUCCACUACAAGAGAGUCUAUAUGGCUACAGCUGGCAGGCCUAAAACUGAGAGAUAUAAAGGUUGUAGUGACAAGAAAAGAAAAAAGGGCAAGCACUUAUGUCCAAUUUGUAAGGAAUAUGGGCAUCAUUGGCACAACUGUAAGAAGGGUAACCCUGAUGACAUUGCUACAAUGUUGGCUAUUAGAGAACCACCAAAGAAGAGGGCAAAGACUAGCAAAACAGCCCAAUCCAUUGUGCCUUGCGAGGAUGGAGCACCAACAAGGAUGCUUUUUCCACCACCAAGCCAAAGCUUGGAAACUACAACUAAGAAAAAGAGAAAACAUGACAACACUGAAUCUGGAGGUUCAAAGAGAUCAAAAACUGGCUCCAUUGAGAAGGCCAAGACGAAAAAGAAGGUUGCUGAGAAGAUUCCGGUGCCACUUGACAGCCCAGCAAUGGGCACAAGGAGCAGAAAGUUUAAUCCUCCUAGCCCUGCUAUGAGCACAAGAAGCAAAAGAAGGCUCAGCCUGUAA
rnacentral:rRNA from 1 species